AGAGUGAACGCUGGCGGCGUGCUUAACACAUGCAAGUCGAACGAGAACGGGUUACAGCUUGCUGUAACUGUCAGCUAAGUGGCGCACGGGUGAGUAAUAUAUAGGUAACAUGCCCCAAAGAAGAGGAUAACGUUUGGAAACGAACGCUAAUACUCUAUAUGCCUUUAAGUCAUAAGACUGCAAGGGAAAUAUUUAUAGCUUUGGGAUUGGCCUGUACAGUAUCAGCUUGUUGGUGAGGUAAUGGCUCACCAAGGCUAUGACGCUUAACUGGUUUGAGAGGAUGAUCAGUCACACUGGAACUGAGACACGGUCCAGACUCCUACGGGAGGCAGCAGUGGGGAAUAUUGCACAAUGGACGAAAGUCUGAUGCAGCAACGCCGCGUGGAGGAUGACACAUUUCGGUGCGUAAACUCCUUUUAUAUAGGAAGAUAAUGACGGUACUAUAUGAAUAAGCACCGGCUAACUCCGUGCCAGCAGCCGCGGUAAUACGGAGGGUGCAAGCGUUACUCGGAAUCACUGGGCGUAAAGAGAAUGUAGGCGGGUUAAUAAGUUGGAAGUGAAAUCCUAUGGCUCAACCAUAGAACUGCUUUCAAAACUGUUGACCUAGAAUAUGGGAGAGGUAGAUGGAAUUUCUGGUGUAGGGGUAAAAUCCGUAGAGAUCAGAAGGAAUACCGAUUGCGAAGGCGAUCUACUGGAACAUUAUUGACGCUGAGAUUCGAAAGCGUGGGGAGCAAACAGGAUUAGAUACCCUGGUAGUCCACGCCCUAAACGAUGCACACUAGUUGUUGCCUUGCUCGACAAGGCAGUAAUGCAGUUAACACAUUAAGUGUGCCGCCUGGGGAGUACGGUCGCAAGAUUA
rnacentral:rRNA from 1 species